UACGUAGGGUGCAAGCGUUAAUCGGAAUUACUGGGCGUAAAGCGUGCGCAGGCGGUCUGUUAAGAGAGAUGUGAAAUCCCCGGGCUUAACCUGGGAACUGCAUUGGUGACUGGCAGGCUUUGAGUGUGGCAGAGGGAGGUAGAAUUCCACGUGUAGCAGUGAAAUGCGUAGAGAUGUGGAGGAAUACCGAUGGCGAAGGCAGCCUCCUGGGCCAACACUGACGCUCAUGCACGAAAGCGUGGGGAGCAAACAGG
rnacentral:rRNA from 1 species